UUGGGGAAUUUUGGACAAUGGGCGCAAGCCUGAUCCAGCAAUGCCGCGUGCAGGAAGAAGGCCUUCGGGUUGUAAACUGCUUUUGUACGGAACGAAACGGUCCGGGUUAAUACCCUGGGCUAAUGACGGUACCGUAAGAAUAAGCACCGGCUAACUACGUGCCAGCAGCCGCGGUAAUACGUAGGGUGCAAGCGUUAAUCGGAAUUACUGGGCGUAAAGCGUGCGCAGGCGGUUUUGUAAGACAGGCGUGAAAUCCCCGGGCUCAACCUGGGAAUUGCGCUUGUGACUGCAAGGCUGGAGUGCGGCAGAGGGGGAUGGAAUUCCGCGUGUAGCAGUGAAAUGCGUAGAUAUGCGGAGGAACACCGAUGGCGAAGGCAAUCCCCUGGGCCUGCACUGACGCUCAUGCACGAAAGCGUGGGGAGCAAACAGGAUUAGAUACCCGAGUAGUCC
rnacentral:rRNA from 1 species